rnacentral:rRNA from 1 species
AGCGAACGCUGGCGGCAGGCCUAACACAUGCAAGUCGAACGAACUCUUCGGAGUUAGUGGCGGACGGGUGAGUAACACGUGGGAACGUGCCUUUAGGUUCGGAAUAACUCAGGGAAACUUGAGCUAAUACCGGAUGUGCCCUUCGGGGGAAAGAUUUAUCGCCUUUAGAGCGGCCCGCGUCUGAUUAGCUAGUUGGUGAGGUAAAGGCUCACCAAGGCGACGAUCAGUAGCUGGUCUGAGAGGAUGAUCAGCCACAUUGGGACUGAGACACGGCCCAAACUCCUACGGGAGGCAGCAGUGGGGAAUCUUGCGGAAGGGGCGAAAGCCUGACGAAGCCAUGCCGGGUGAAUGAUGAAGGUCUUAGGAUUGUAAAAUUCUUUCACCGGGGACGAUAAUGACGGUACCCGGAGAAGAAGCCCCGGCUAACUUCGUG